UAAAACACUCUUCCUACCGUCGAGAAACGGGCUGUCACUGCCUCAGCCAGUGAGCGACAAAAUACGGCGGUGCGUGAGAGACAUCGGACGUCCGGUAGGAAGGUGGUGCCAUGCUAGUGCACAGUCGAGGAAUUCGCCGAGAAGAGUCUCGGAAAAAUGUGAAUCGUCCGGCGGAGGUGGCGGUUGUCGCCGCACUGACGAUGAUGAGAGCGUCGGAAAUAGGAUGAUGU
rnacentral:lncRNA from 1 species